rnacentral:rRNA from 1 species
UUGAAAGGGAAACGAUUGAAGUCAGUCGUACCGACGAGAAAUCAACUUAUCGCGUGCGAACUUGUGGGCGCGCGUGAGUUUCGGCCUCGCUGUUUACAUGUUUGUUCGCUUUGGGUGUACUUUUUCGUAUGGUUGGCCAACGUCAGUUUCGAUUAUCAUAAAAUGACCGGCGGAAUGUAGCUUCGACUUCGGUUGAAGUGUUAUAGCCUCUGGUAGAUGUGGUGAUUGGGACUGGGGAUUGCAACGAAUACCUUUUAGGCUAUCCGUCUGGCCUCCGAAAGUUGCUCAGGUGCCGAAAGCGUGCUUACGGUCAUCUAAGAUAACGUUCAACAGGUUAGAACGUGAUUACAUUCGUUAAGGAUGUUGACGUA